GACGAACCGCGCGAACGUUAUUCGGAAUUACUGGGCUUAAAGCGCGUGUAGGCGGAUCGGCGCGUCGGCGACUGAAAGCCCCCGGCUCAACCGGGGAAGUGGAGCCGAAACGGCCGGUCUUGAGGGAUGGAGGGGGACCUGGAACUUCCGGUGGAGCGGUGAAAUGCGUUGAGAUCGGAAGGAACGCCGGCGGCGAAAGCGAGGUCCUGGACGUCCACUGACGCUGAGACGCGAAAGCUGGGGGAGCGAACGGGAUUAGAAACCCGGGUAGUCC
rnacentral:rRNA from 1 species